GUUGCCUAAUAAUUAUGCACACCUGAUAUAGGGUGUUGAUGUCAUUAGACCACACCCCUUCUCAUUACAGAGAUGCACAUCACCUAAUAUGCUUAAUUGGUAGUAGGCUUUCGAGCCUAUACAGCUUGGAGUAAGACAACAUGCAUAAAGAGGAUGAUGUGGUCAAAAUACUCAUUUGCCUAAUAAUUCUGCACUCCCUGUAAUUGAU